rnacentral:rRNA from 1 species
UGGGGAAUAUUGCACAAUGGGCGAAAGCCUGAUGCAGCAACGCCGCGUGAGCGAUGAAGGCCUUCGGGUCGUAAAGCUCUGUCCUCAAGGAAGAUAAUGACGGUACUUGAGGAGGAAGCCCCGGCUAACUACGUGCCAGCAGCCGCGGUAAUACGGAGGGGGCAAGCGUUACUCGGAAUUAUUGGGCGUAAAGGGCGCGUAGGCGGUCUCGUGCGUCAGGGGUGAAAUCCCCGGGCUUAACCCGGGAAGUGCCUCUGAUACGGCGAGACUUGAGUCCGGGAGAGGGGAGCAGAAUUCCCAGUGUAGCGGUGAAAUGCGUAGAUAUUGGGAGGAAUACCAGUGGCGAAGGCGGCUCGCUGGACCAGUACUGACGCUGAGGCGCGAAAGCGUGGGUAGCGAACA